rnacentral:tRNA from 1 species
AAAGGGAGACCUAAUUCAGGUAAAAGACGAAAAAAAAGUAGUCGCUACCAAGAAUCAAUCCCAAAAGGUCGGAGCGAGGCGAAAUUGGCUUUCAAACUAGGUUCUGGGUUCAAACAAGACCUGAAUCAGGAACAAGGGCUAUUAGCUCAGGUGGUUAGAGCGCACCCCUGAUAAGGGUGAGGUCCCUGGUUCGAGUCCAGGAUGGCCCACCUGCACAGGUGGCAAAAACAAGAGAAGCGAGGAAUCAGCACCUUAUCUUACUUAUAUAGUAAGAGAGAAUGCUGGCUCUGAGUAAAGCGUCCAGAGGAACCUUGAAAACUGCAUAGAGCUAGGUGAAAAAGCCAAAAAAGAAGACCGCAAG